rnacentral:rRNA from 1 species
GUUUAUAGCUAUUCCACCCUGAAUGCACCUGAUCUUGUCUGAUCUUGGAAACUAAGCAGGAUCGGGCCUGGUUAGCACUUGGAUGGGAGAAUCACUAAAUAAGUUAAGACAGUCGCAGAAU